ensembl:lncRNA
AGCAGCUUUUCUCAAGGUUCACUGACCAAGGAAAAGGUCCACCCACAUCUUUCUCUUUGCCCAAUGAACUUAAAUUGAUUUCUGGUGACUGCACAUAACUUCACCUGAAGCUGUGAGGAAUGAGACCUAAGCUUGGCUUUGUGUCACCCAGCUGGCUAGAGGAAGAUGACACCUCCAACUUGAACUGGGCUUUUUUCCAUUUUCUUGGAGCUCAUCAAGACAUGUGGUGCUUUCUUAAAGUGCAGCUGGUGCUGGCACUUUCAUUGUAAAUUUAAAUCACUGUGUUUGGAAAAAGGUGAUAAGAACAGUUUGUUUCAUGUCCCUGGUGUUUAGCCUGAGGCAAUUCCCAGCAAAUAUAUUCAACGCUCCUUCUGGUUUGAUCUGCUAUACUUUUUCUAUUAUUAUUAUUAAUAACAAUAGUAGAAAGUAUGCGCCUAAAAGAAUACUCUGCUCAGUGUAUGAAUUUAUUCCCACAGUCACUGAAGUUUAAAAGAAAACAAAAACACUUUAAACUUCGAUUUAGAUAAAUAGCAAAAAUAUGAACUUGGUCUCUGUAUAUGUUUGGAGAAAGGGGAGUCAGAUUUUUGCAAGGUUUUCUCUUUGAUCAAAACUUAAAUGUUAUGGAGAAAAAGACACUUCAUUUUUCUCUAUUUUAUAUUCCAAUCUAGUGCUCGUGAUAGAAAGUAUAUAGUUUAUUACAUGUUUAUGCUGCCUAUAUGAUUGUUACUGUACUUAUGAGGUAGUGCUUCUGAACAGUGGUUUGAAAUAAUACUUCAUAUUCCCAAAUAACUCUAAAGUACUUAUGUUUAUAAGAACGUGUAAAAAGCCAGCUUCCAACAUGUUUAAUUGUCCACUGCAUUCAACUCUUACAUGGUUUUUUGUGUCUGUUCAUACUGUUAAGACCUGAAAUUAUUCUGAUUAAUUGCUAUGUUUUCUUCACUUUAAAUUUUGUGUGCCAAAAUUAGUACAGCGUUAAGAAAAUACACAUUAACUUCUCUAUUGCUAAAAUUCCCACAUUAUUCUGUAAAGCUUUCUUUUAAAUACAUACCCUAUAUUCACAAUGAAGAAUACAGAAUCAAUGAAACUACAGAGAUUCCAUCUCAAGAGAGCAGCUAUUGUGUAUUUACCUAAGGAAUCUUGGACACUUUUCAAACCCACCAUUUUUUUUUAAAGGUGUGGGUUUUUGUUGUUGUUGUUUGGUUGGUUUUGGUUGUUUUUCUGUAUAAUAGAAAUAAGAAUUCAUAGUUGUUUGUUUUCCUUGCAGUGUUUUUACAAAUUCUUAUCAGAUGUCAACAUAACCUUUAGAGAUAAAACUUAGAUUAACAAAAAUUCUAUCAAAUUUUUACUGAGCUUCCCUGAUUUGCUGCUGUGCUUUUUAAUGCUGUUUAAGAUUUAGGUUGCAAAUACUGCUGCACCACAAUAAAUGUCAUUAAAAGUAUAAGUGUAUCUUAUAAUGACCGUAAAGAAGAAGCACAGGGUUGAGCCUUUCUUCCUCCAGUAAGGUAGAAAUGGAAGUAUGAGAGAAAUUUACCUAGAUCCAACUUUUAAAAACUGAGCGAACACAUGGAUUAGAUCUAAUUUUAUGUUCUGACUAAUAGUUCCAGUGUAAAUUGCCAUAUUUUCAUUGAUAGAAAUGAAGCAUAUGUAGAUAAUGGCACAAUUCUGUAUUUAUGAUAUUCCAUUUUUCUAUAAAUAUAGAUGUUCAGUGAUUAUCAAUAGAGCUGCUUAUUAAAAUUCAGACUUUG